rnacentral:rRNA from 1 species
CGUAGUUGGAUUUCUGGUGGGGGCCGCUGGUCCGCCGCGCAAGCGGCGUGACCGAUGCGUGCCUACCGCCAUCCUCGGGGGGGCUUCGCGUGGGAUUAGUUUCUCGUGCGUUUGUCGACCCGUCUUUUACUGUGAAAAAAUUAGAGUGUUCAAAGCAGGCUGAGGCCGUUGAAUACAUUAGCAUGGAAUAAUGAGAUAGGACCUUGGCGGUCUAUUUUGUUGGUUUGCACGCCAAGGUAAUGAUUAAUAGGGAUAGUUGGGGGU